rnacentral:rRNA from 1 species
UACGUAGGGUGCGAGCGUUGCCCGGAUUUAUUGGGCGUAAAGGGCGCGUAGGCGGCCACGCACGUCCGUUGUGAAAUCGCCCGGCUCAACUGGGCGGGGUCGGCGGAUACGGCGUGGCUGGAGCAAGCUAGGGGGCAAUGGAAUUCCCGGUGUAGUGGUGGAAUGCGUAGAUAUCGGGAGGAACACCAGUGGCGAAGGCGGUUGCCUGGAGCUUUGCUGACGCUGAGGCGCGAAGGCGUGGGGAGCGAUCCGG